rnacentral:rRNA from 1 species
CCUACGGGUGGCAGCAGAGAGGAAUAUUGGUCAAUGGACGAGAGUCUGAACCAGCCAAGUAGCGUGAAGGAUGACUGCCCUAUGGGUUGUAAACUUCUUUUAUAUGGGAAUAGAAUGUUCCACGUGUGGGAUUUUGUAUGUACCAUAUGAAUAAGGAUCGGCUAACUCCGUGCCAGCAGCCGCGGUAAUACGGAGGAUCCGAGCGUUAUCCGGAUUUAUUGGGUUUAAAGGGAGCGUAGGUGGAUUGUUAAGUCAGUUGUGAAAGUUUGCGGCUCAACCGUAAAAUUGCAGUUGAAACUGGCAGUCUUGAGUACAGUAGAGGUGGGCGGAAUUCGUGGUGUAGCGGUGAAAUGCUUAGAUAUCACGAAGAACUCCGAUUGCGAAGGCAGUUCACUGGACUGCAACUGACACUGAGGCUCGAAAGUGUGGGUAUCAAACAGGAUUAGAUACCCCAGUAGUC